rnacentral:lncRNA from 1 species
GUUCUGUCAGCCUCAAAUCUCUUGCCAAGUUACUCUGCUGAAAAGGGGAAAUCUGAGAGCUGGUGUCAGUUGUAGUGUCUUCUCCACUGAACAUGAAGCAGCACCUGACCACUCGCUCUAACAUAGUCCUGCUAUCUAUCAAUAUUCGGAAUUACUUGUAUAUAUGCGUGUUUAUUUCAUAACUCCCUUCCCCAUCAAACCGUAUGCCUCAAUAAACAGCAUGAGUGUACAGACCCAAUUGCAC